AUUGAACGCUGGCGGAAUGCUUUACACAUGCAAGUCGAGCGGCAGCGCGGGGGCAACCCUGGCGGCGAGCGGCGAACGGGUGAGUAAUACAUCGGAACGUGUCCUUAAGUGGGGGAUAGCUCGGCGAAAGCCGGAUUAAUACCGCAUAAGCUCUGAGGAGGAAAGCGGGGGGCUCCGUAAGGACCUCGCGCUGUUGGAGCGGCCGAUGUCGGAUUAGCUAGUUGGUGGGGUAAAGGCCCACCAAGGCGACGAUCCGUAGCUGGUCUGAGAGGAUGAUCAGCCACACUGGAACUGAGACACGGUCCAGACUCCUACGGGAGGCAGCAGUGGGGAAUUUUGGACAAUGGGGGCAACCCUGAUCCAGCCAUUCCGCGUGA
rnacentral:rRNA from 1 species